rnacentral:lncRNA from 1 species
CAGCUCAAAAACUAGCUACCAUAGAAAAUGGAAAAGCAGAGUGAAAAAUGUGAGUGUGGGGCUGACAAGUUAAGAGACAAGAGUCAAGUCUUCACUCAAAUGCAAGUGAAUGUAACAUUAUUUUUUUUUUUUAAAACGAACCGACUUAUUCGGUGGUAGUAGUACUAGUGACAUGGACGCUAACAUUGAAGUGCUAGACCGGCAAGAGGAAGAUGCCACAACCCGGUUUGCGGGUGAAAGAGUAGACGGAGAGGACAGCGAAGCCAAAGAUGGGCACAUAUCUACCGCUUCGGCUGCACUAAAUGUGUUACAAAUACAUGUUAUAUCCGAAAUGGCAAAUACAAUUGGUCAGCUACUGCUGUGUAAAUGUACCAGAAAGAAUUGAGGUAAAGACGUUCAGUAACUGGGUGUUUCAAACCGGAUAGCGGAAAAACUCAAAAUUUGACGCCUGGCAAAGCUCUUAAUGCCUAGAUUUCGCCGACAUUGGUUGUAAAUAGUGUACAUAUUGUAAAACCAAUCAAGUCCUUUCCCUCUCAAAUUCAUAUUUUGUGCGGGAGAAUAUGGUAACAGUGAUUUGCUAACUAUGAUCCUCAUCGCCACCGGUUCCUACCACUUCGCCUCUUUCUAGACAAUGCAUUGAAACUCAUCAUGCCAACAGUCCGGUGUGAAUGGCGAGUAAAGCCACACACAAAAAAACGUGUUUUGUUGUCAUUCAUUCACUUGAUAUGAAAUAGUGGGACUGCUGCUGUGUUUUUAGUUUUUCAAAAUUGGGCCUUUAGUUAACUUACAUUAUUUUAUUCAUAUCCAGGUUGAUGAUAGGUCCGUUUCAGUGAAAGAGGGAGGAGCCAGGGAAGGCUAGACCAACUUUUGAUUAUUUCAAGAGACCAAAGUCAGAUGACCUAAACAUUGUUUCCACCCUAUGCAGGAAUCAAAAACUUCCAUGGUACAGAGGGUUUUCUGUUUUAAAGACGGUACCAAUCGAAAAUGGCUGUAAUACAAUGAAAGCUAUGUGUUAUACUGUAUGGUGCUAUGCGUAUGUCCUUAAUCUGGUUUUGUCUGACACAACUGAAAUUGUCUUAACAACUGGGUCACUGUUUGUGCUCCUUAAUGACAUUGCUGUGUUACUCGGUGAAUCCUACCAAAGGAUGGAUGUGUGGGAGAAGAGCCAGGACACGCGACGCAGACGCCUAUCUCCAAUCGGAGAAACACGCUGGUGGACUAAGGAUGGUGCUUUGAUGAAGGUCUUUGGAAAACCAGACCAGGGUCUCUAUGUUGAAGUACUCCUCACACUAUCAGCCAUACAAGGAUAGGCCAACAUGAAGACAACUGUUUGGGUGAAGGAAAGAGGAUUUACUGACGCUCUUCUCCGGUAUGAGACGACACUGACGGCUCAAAUAUUUCUUUGGAUAUUUGAGAACACGUCACCGCUGUCCAAAUACCUGCAGACAAGUGGGAUGGACAUCCGGUCUGCCCAUCAAAUGGUUGUGGCUACACAGGAAACCCUGAAAGGCAUGUCAAGUGACUUUGACACCAUUAAGGCAGCUACAGACACAUUUGUUCAGUUUGCAAAUAAGAAGAUCAAAGAACAGAAUGAGGACACAAAGCUGGAGGAGGUGGAAGCCACUCGGCCACAGAAAAGGGCAAGAAAGAAGAAAAUCGUGUCUAGAGAGAUGGCUCAAGAAGAAGCUUUGACAGAGGCAGAGAGUGCCUAUAAAGUUCAGGUCCACAAUAAAAUUAUGGAUAAAGUCACAGAUAGUAUCCACAGGUGAUUUCUGUCUCAUGACACCCUUCUGGACCCUAGAAACCUCUCCCAAAUAACAUCCAAUGGUCUUCAAGAGCUCAGCAAAUGUUUGCUUCGAUUUGAUAGCCGAGCAACUGACAAUUUGCAGUGUGAACUGAAGUCUCGCUGUGCAGUGGAAAAGACGACUGAAAAGUUCAGGAUUGGAGGAAUACAUGACCAGGACAGUGGAGGAUGGCCCUGAUGGAAAUGAAUAUGUGGUGGAAAUGAAGAAUAAAUGCUGUUCAUCCUGCAAAUAAUGUCCACUGUGUUACCAGAUGCUGAGAUGGUGCAACCUGCUGACUGAUGCAUACCAUAUCCUUGGUCUUGGAUUCAAGUUCCUACUCACCCUCUCAGGUAGCUUGUGAGUGAAGUUUCUCUACCUUAAAGUAUAUCAAGAGCAGACUCAGGAGCGCUCUCUCAGAAGAACACCUAGAGGCCUUCAUGCUGAUGGCCACCGAGAAGGACAUCCUAAUGGCCCUGAAUACUGACAUGGUAUUCCUUAAAGAGGUGGGGUUUCAGGUGUGUCCGGAAGGUGGUGAUUGACUCCGCUGUCCUGGUGUCGUGAGGGAGCUUGUUCCACCAUUGGGGUGCCAGAGCAGCGAACAGUUUUGACUGGGCUGAGCGGGAACUGUGCUUCCGCAGAGGUAGGGAGGCGAGCAGGCCAGAGGUGGAUGAACGCAGUGCCCUUCUUUGGGUGUAGGGACUGAUCAGAGCCUGAAGGUACGGAGGUGCCGUUCCCCUCACAGCUCCGUAGGCAAGCACCAUGGUCUUGUAGCAGGUGCGAGCUUCAACUGGAAGCCAGUGGAGUGUGCGGAGGAGCGGGGUGACGUGAGAGAACUUGGGAAGGUUGGGCUGUGGCGUUCUGGAUGAGUUGUAGGGGUUUAAUGGCACAGGCAGGGAGCCCCGCCAGCAGCGAGUUGCAGUAAUCCAGACGGGAGAUGACAAGUGCCUGGAUUAAGACCUGCGCCGCUUCCUGUGUAAGGCAGGGUCGUACUCUGCGAAUGUUGUAGAGCAUGAACCUACAGGAUCGGGUCACCGCCUUGAUGUUAGCGGAGAACGAUAGGGUGUUGUCCAAGGUCACGCCAAGGCUCUUAGCACUCUGGGAGGAGGACACAAUGGAGUUGCUAUCUCUCUCAGAAUGACCUUCUUGAUCCAAAUCAGUCAGGUUUCAAGACUGGUCAUUCAACUGAGACUGCUCUUCUCUGUGUCACGGAGGCUGUCCUCCGUGACACUGCUAAAGCUAAAGUUAUUGUUUAUGCCUAGAAAUUGGGCUUGUGAGUUUCUUUAAACUCAUAAGAUAAAGUGUGUGCCAUUUAUAAAGGCCUGUUCUAAUUGUGCUGUGUGUCGAAGGACCCUAUGAUGUCUGGGUUCUCAGCCAUGAAUGACAAACUAACUGGUUUCUCUUAGCUUGAUUGGAGACAGAGUAAAGGUUAUUUCCUGUACACCAGCGAAAGGGCUAUUCUGUUUGUAGCCUGUUUCUGAGCGAAAUAUUAAUGUUUUGUGUGUGACCAGUACGACCAUACAUCAUCUGGGCCGACAGUGAAAGGCCUAGGCUUGCCCAACUUGGGGGAACCAUUGAGCUACUGUUAGAGGAAGUAUGUCUGGAGUUACUUCCUGUCAUUCUGGCUCCUAUUGUCCUCACUCAGUUGCAACAGACUAAGGCAACCGUUUCACCCAGUUGUCUCCCCUCUCUCACACACACACACACACACACACACAGGGUCACGUGUUUUUGCAGAUGCUUACAUGGGAUAGCUUGACUAGUGUGUGUAUAAUGCUCCUGUACUCUCUGUGCGGGGGCUCUCAAUCCAUUUCACUUACGUGGGCGGUGCGACAUCCUCCUUUACUAUAUAUUUUUUAAAUAAAAG